GAUCAACGCUAGCGGGAGGCCUAACACAUGCAAGCCGAGCGGUAGAGAUUCUUCGGAAUCUUGAGAGCGGCGCACGGGUGCGGAACACGUGUGCAACCUGCCUUUAUCUGGGGGAUAGCCUUUCGAAAGGAAGAUUAAUACCCCAUAAUAUAUUGAGUGGCAUCACUUGAUAUUGAAGACUCCGGUGGAUAGAGAUGGGCACGCGCAAGAUUAGAUAGUUGGUGAGGUAACGGCUCACCAAGUCAAUGAUCUUUAGGGGGCCUGAGAGGGUGAACCCCCACACUGGUACUGAGACACGGACCAGACUCCUACGGGAGGCAGCAGUGAGGAAUAUUGGACAAUGGGUGAGAGCCUGAUCCAGCCAUCCCGCGUGAAGGACGACUGCCCUAUGGGUUGUAAACUUCUUUUAUACUGGGAUAAACCUACCCUCGUGAGGGUAGCUGAAGGUACAGUAUGAAUAAGCACCGGCUAACUCCGUGCCAGCAGCCGCAGUAAAAC
rnacentral:rRNA from 1 species